GAUGAACGCUGGCGGCGUGCCUAAUACAUGCAGGUCGAGCGAACAGAUGGGAAGCUUGCUUCUCUGAUGUUAGCGGCGGACGGGUGAGUAACACGUGGGUAACCUACCUAUAAGACUGGGAUAACUCCGGGAAACCGGGGCUAAUACCGGAUAAUAUUUUGAACCGCAUGGUUCAAUAGUGAAAGACGGUUUCGGCUGUCACUUAUAGAUGGACCCGCGCCGUAUUAGCUAGUUGGUAAGGUAACGGCUUACCAAGGCGACGAUACGUAGCCGACCGGGACUGAUGAUCGGCCACACUGGAACUGAGACACGGUCCAGACUCCUACGGGAGGCAGCAGUAGGGAAUCUUCCGCAAUGGGCGAAAGCCUGACGGAGCAACGCCGCGUGAGUGAUGAAGGUCUUCGGAUCGUAAAACUCUGUUGUUAGGGAAGAACAAAUUUGUUAGUAACUGAACAAGUCUUGACGGUACCUAACCAGAAAGCCACGGCUAACUACGUGCCAGCCGCCGCGGUAA
rnacentral:rRNA from 1 species